GAUGAACGCUGGCGGCGUGCCUAAUACAUGCAAGUCGAGCGAACGGACGAGGAGCUUGCUUCUCUGACGUUAGCGGCGGACGGGUGAGUAACACGUGGAUAACCUACCUAUAAGACUGGGAUAACUUCGGGAAACCGGAGCUAAUACCGGAUAAUAUUUUGAACCGCAUGGUUCAAUAGUGAAAGACGGUUUUGCUGUCACUUAUAGAUGGAUCCGCGCUGCAUUAGCUAGUUGGUAAGGUAACGGCUUACCAAGGCAACGAUGCAUAGCCGACCUGAGAGGGUGAUCGGCCACACUGGAACUGAGACACGGUCCAGACUCCUACGGGAGGCAGCAGUAGGGAAUCUUCCGCAAUGGGCGAAAGCCUGACGGAGCAACGCCGCGUGAGUGAUGAAGGUCUUCGGAUCGUAAAACUCUGUUAUUAGGGAAGAACAAAUGUGUAAGUAACUGUGCACGUCUUGACGGUACCUAAUCAGAAAGCCACGGCUAACUACGUG
rnacentral:rRNA from 1 species